rnacentral:rRNA from 1 species
AUUGAACGCUGGCGGCAGGCCUAACACAUGCAAGUCGAACGAGUGGCGGACGGGUGAGUAAUGUCUGGGAACCUGCCCGAUGGAGGGGGAUAACUCCUGGAAACGGUAGCUAAUACCGCAUACCAUCGGAUGUGCCCAGAGGGGAUUAGCUUGUAGGUGAGGUACCGGCUCACCUGGGCGACGAUCCCUAGCUGGUCUGAGAGGUUGAUCAGCCCGACGGGAACUGAGACACGGUCCAUACUCGUACGGGAGGCAGCAGUGGGGAAUAGUGCACAAGGGGCGCAAGCCUGAUGUAGCAAUGGCGCGUGUAUGAAGAAGGCCUUCGGGUUGUAAAGUACUGUCAGCGGGGAGGCGUUACCCGCAGAAGAAGCACCGGCUAACUCCGGGCCCGAAGCCGCGGUAAUUC